CUUUACGUUUGUCACUCAGGCGACGCGGACUCUGAGACGGCAGCGUUGGGUUACUUCAUCACCCCAUGUGUCGGGACGCUGGUCACGCUGGGCAGCUACGUCUUGCUGCCCCGCCUGGAGUUUGCCCAGCAUUAUCUGAACAAAAGCGUCAAGUAUGAGGCAGGCGCCACGGACGAGUUGCUGAAAGAGAGCAGCACAGUGGAGAAUGGCAAGCUGAACGGCCAUGCUAACGGCACAGCGACCAGCAGUAGCCCAGAGGGGGGGGCUGAGGUGGAGGGAGACCCCGGGACAGAACGGCCCAAGCCCGCCUUCCUGUCGCUGGAGCAGGAGGAGAAGGGGCAGGCCAAAGCCUCCGUCGUAGAGGUCUUUAAGAAGGGCUCUCAGGGUGGGCCUGACACAGAUAAACACUGGGCUACACCCUUGGGAACACGUUUUGAAGUAGGUGAAAGAUACUUC